GUCAUCGUCUUGGAGUCAGUCUUAGAGAAGCCCUGUGCCUGAGCGAACGUGUCAGUGUGCUAUCAAAAAUAUAUUAAAACGUACAGAAAGCUUCCCGUUGACCGUGGAUUCGUUACAGAACCCAAGAAUAAUAUUAAAAGCAUUUGUUUACUUAUUAAUCGUCUCGCGCUCGAAAUCCAAACGACAAUUCGACAAAUAUAAACAAAGGA
rnacentral:misc_RNA from 1 species